rnacentral:rRNA from 1 species
CACUGUUUCGGCAAGGGGGUCAUCCCGACUUACCAACCCGAUGCAAACUGCGAAUACCGGAGAAUGUUAUCACGGGAGACACACGGCGGGUGCUAACGUCCGUCGUGAAGAGGGAAACAACCCAGACCGCCAGCUAAGGUCCCAAAGUCAUGGUUAAGUGGGAAACGAUGUGGGAAGGCCCAGACAGCCAGGAUGUUGGCUUAGAAGCAGCCAUCAUUUAAAGAAAGCGUAAUAGCUCACUGGUCGAGUCGGCCUGCGCGGAAGAUGUAACGGGGCUAAACCAUGCACCGAAGCUGCGGCAGCGACGCUUAUGCGUUGUUGGGUA